GCUAUACAGCUAGCUUAAUUACCAAAACUACUACAACAACAUUAAUUGUAACUUAUAUAACCACAGCAACCUCAAAUCAAAACAUUUUACCACCUAAGUACGUGAGACAGAAAAGGCACACUUUUAAGCUACAAAAGAAGUACCGCAAGGGAACGCUGAAAGAGAAAUGAAACAAAUCAUCAAAGCAUAAAAAAGCAGAGACUAGCCCUCGUACCUUUUGCAUCAUGAUUUAGCCAGUCACAUUGAGCAAAGCGAACUUUAGUUCAAAACCCCGAAACUAAGUGAGCUACCCCGAGACAGCCUAUAUAUUAGGGCCAACUCGUCUCUGUGGCAAAAGAGUGAGAAGAUCUCCGGGUAGAGGUGACAGACCUACCGAACUUAGUUAUAGCUGGUUGCCUAGGAAAUGAAUAAAAGUUCAGCCUCGCACUCCUUAGUUCACAAAUCAUUUAUACAUGCUUACGAACCAAAGAAAUAUGCAAGAGUUACUCAAAGGAGGUACAGCUCCUUUGAAACAGGACACAACCUCAUCCAGGAGGUUAAAGAUUAUAUCAAACAAGAUAAACCGCCUUAGUGGGCCUAAAAGCAGCCACCUAAACAGAAAGCGUUAAAGCUCAGGCGGAACAAAAUCUAUUAUUCAAAUAUUAAAUCUAAAACCCCUAACCCUACUAGGCUACUCUAUGCUAGCAUAGAAGAAACACUGCUAAAAUGAGUAAUAAGAAAGAACCCCUUUCUCCUAGACUCAAGUGUACGCUAGAUCGGACCCACCACUAGCAAUCAUCGAACCCAACAAAAGAGGGAAAUGUGGUUAUAUCAAAUAUCAAGAAAUACCCACACAACCCAAUCGUUACCCCCACACUGGAGAGUCCCAUAGGAAAGACUAAAAGAAGAGGAAGGAACUCGGCAAACACUAAGCCUCGCCUGUUUACCAAAAACAUCGCCUCCUGCAAACUAACAUAUAGGAGGUCUUACCUGCCCAGUGACAAGUUAAACGGCCGCGGUAUUUUGACCGUGCGAAGGUAGCGCAAUCACUUGUCUUUUAAAUGAAGACCUGUAUGAAUGGUGGAACGAGGGCUUAACUGUCUCCCCCCUCAAGUCAAUGAAAUUGAUCUGCCCGUGCAGAAGCGGGUAUAACAAUACAAGACGAGAAGACCCUUUGGAGCUUAAGAUAUAAGAUCAACUAUGUCAAGAAUUACCAAACCAAAUUAAACUAAGUAAUAACUGAUCACUAUCUUCGGUUGGGGCGACCACGGGAGAAAAUAAAGCUCCCACGUGGACUGGGCCAUCCCUAGAACCAAGAGAGACAUCUCCAAGUCACAGAAUAUCUGACCAUAUAGAUCCGGCCACUCGCCGAUCAACGAACCAAGUUACCCCAGGGAUAACAGCGCAAUCCCCUUCCAGAGCCCAUAUCGACAAGGGGGUUUACGACCUCGAUGUUGGAUCAGGACAUCCUAAUGGUGCAGCCGCUACUAAGGGUUCGUUUGUUCAACGAU
rnacentral:rRNA from 1 species